CGGACGUGCUACCUGUCCCAGACCUGCUGUUUUCAACUCUCUAGUAGACAUACUCAGGUUAUUUUCAUUAGUGCAAGCUCAACAGCGAGGCUGAUGGAGAGAGGGCCUUCACAUAGGAGAUCACAUCCACUGAGGACAGCUCUCCUGACAUCUGUUUGUCAUUCUCCACCAGCAGGCUCUGAGAGAGAGUAUGGAACCAGCAGAAGGGGGG